UUGGUAUCUGGAGGAUAACUACAGUAUAUCUUUGACUUACUCUCAGUCAGUGAUUGCUGACUGAGAGAACUCCUUUACUACCUCUUAUCUUCAUCACGUAACCGAGGAGCUCUGAGGAGGAACGCAGAGGGGCGGUGUCUCAUCAGAGCGCUCCCUGUGGCUCUCACCUUCGAUCUGAGUAGAAGCGAUGAAGGAAGAAGUCUGAGCCGAUGAGGGGAGAGAAAAAGAGGGGUGGGGGGUCAUUAGCAGGAGAUGGAGCUCCUCAGUUCCUGACAUCAGAGAGAUAAACCCGGGGCUCUGCUCUGGCCGACCGUCGUGUAUCAGGGUUAAGUGGGCGCCUCUGUUCAAUGCACAGACAGGAGGUGGCUGAAGAGGAGGAACUAGAGAGGGUCAAUAUUGUUUUCAAAAUGAUGGUCCUCUUUAGCUUGAUGUAUGAGGAAAAAUGAUAUAACGGCAGCAGAUGGAGGCCCGGUGUCCUAUGGGAGCGUCUGAAUCAGGUACCAGCGGCCUCUGUUGUUUUUCAAACAAAUCACUCUUGAAAGCAACCAAUCAUCC
ensembl:lncRNA